CUCAAAAAGCUGGGAGCGGGCAGGGAGGGCUGGGAGCAGACGGGAGAGCCGAGGCAGUUCAGGGGGGGGGGUGUAUCACCGCCCUCCUGCCUUCUCUCUUCCAGCUGGCUUGAUAAAUUUGCUUCUGCUCUGCAUCUCCAGGGGAAAUAAUGUAUUUGUGGAUAGAUAGGCGGGUAGGUAGGUAGAUAAAUAGAUGGAAUGAGAGACAGAGACACAGAUAGACAGAAAAUAGAAAAAAAAAAAUCUCUAUUUAUAUACAGAUAUAUGUAAGAAAAACAUAUUCUAUAUAUGCUUUUUUGUAUGCCUUAUAUUCUUUAUCUCUUUAUAUCCUAACUCUUUCAUAUUGGAAGACAGGGGACAGAUCACUCCAGAGUGCAGCAAAGCUGGAUGCAAAAGGAAAAAAAGAAAGGUAUAUUCUGUGUUACGUAUGUCUGAAAAAAAACCCAACAAAACAUCUUCUGGAGGGUUAACAAGAGGCCAUGGUCCUAAAGAGAGAAUUAAGCACCAUGAGACUCGUCCCCAGCCCAGCUCCUCACUUGCACACCAUCAGUGCUCGGGUAAAGCAAGGAAGGAGACACUGCAGUCAGGAGCUGCAAUCCAGCAACUCACAUGAGACCACUAUGAUUUCAGCAGCCGUGCUUCUGAUCUUUCCACAUUAUGUUACCAAUGUAGGUCCCAGAAGAGACAUUUAGGGAGUUCUGGAAGGGUCAUCCUUGGCAAAGAAAAUUGAAAUCUCUACCCUUUGCUUCCUCAUCUCCAGACACCUUCUGCCUCCUCUUGUCUUUGUUAGAUUUUGAUGAGAAUCUUUUAUGAGCUUUUUCAGUGCUUCUGUACCUGGACUACUUACUGACUCCUGGCAGAUUUCCUCUGAUGCAAUAAAGAAAAGAAAAAAAUAUCCAA